GUAGCACUGAUUCUACAUACAGGGCUCCUGUAGCAGGGGUACGAGUGUUUAGCCAACAUGUUUAUCUGCCCAGAGUUGUAGCCCGGGGGCACAGUGCAUACCCCGUGUGCAUCGCCCCAUUUGUCCCUUUGUGUGUUAUCAUUCUAUCAGGAGCUCUAAGCUUCAAAUAUAAACUUCUGUUGGGUCAAUCCCGGCAUUGUUAGGAACAAGCGCGAGUCUUUCCCCCCUUCCGUUGCCGGCCUGGGCGGAACUGGGGGCCUGUAAAUUGCAGAGGAUCACAACGUUUGUGUUUUGUAGCCUCCAGCGCGAAAACAGUUACCCAUGUGUGGACUCAUUCCCCUUUUGUCUCCUCUUUAUUCCGAUCACCGGAGGCCGGGGAGCUGAAAUGAAUUUGCCAUGCAUGGGUUCCCCUGGAUCCUGAGGAGUAGACUUUCCUGGCUGGCUGGCACCAGGAGGUCAGGGGUCGCGGGUAUUUGUUACAGUAUUGGGUUCAAAGGUCACAGAUGGAACGACUUGUGUAGGUCUGAAGGUGCCAAUGGGUGCACAGCGGGAGUGAAUGGCUGCUCUCUGGCGCAGGGAGUUCCGUGGAAUGUGGUACAUGCAGCGGGGCGGUGUUUUUGCUGCGGCUAGAGCCUUCCUACACGGACUGGGAAAUUUGUACCGCGUAAUGGCGUCCAUCUGAGUGCCAGGGGGGACAAAAACUUGUGGUGUCUUCACGGUGAAGCUUCAAAACUUGGUGUUGUAGUGCUGUGUAUGCUGUAGACUUUUACCUGUGAGACUCCUGUCUGCAACUGGACUAGCCCAAAACUGGUCCGCCCAGGUGCAGCCAACCGUCAACUCUGGACAAAAGAACACGGCAUCCGUCUGUCUUGUUAUCCUGAAGGUGCAGCAGAGAUUCUGGCAGAGUUGAAUGAUUUUCACUCGCUUCGGAUGAUUGGCAGUUCCUUCGGAUGAUUGACACCCCCUUCGGAGGGACCACCUCGACCUAGUGCUUCCUUGCAUAAAGCGAGGGGUAGGUGAAGUUUGUUUGUUUAUAAGUUUUUUGUUUGUUUGUUUGUUUGUUUUUUGUACUAGAGCCAGAAAGCAUCAUGGAGGAGACAGAAAUGUUGGCAAAAUUUCUAUACUCGGUCACAGAAGCUGGUUUUGUCUGUUGUCAUCUUACGG